rnacentral:rRNA from 1 species
UACUGAACAGCUAGUCCAAAUAAUUAAUUAAAAGUUGUAGCUAACUAAAACUUAAUAACCUAAAAGACAAAAAUAAAUCAUUCUUCCACUCUAGUACGUGAGACAGAAAAAGAUCCAGGAACAAUAGAAAAAGUACCGUAAGGGAAAGCUGAAAGAGAAAUGAAAAAACCCAGUAAAGUUGACAUAAGCAGAGACUAAAACUCGUACCUUUUGCAUCAUGAAUUAGCAAGUCACAUCAAGCAAAAUGAAUUAUAGUUUGAACCCCCGAAACUUGAUGAGCUACUUCAAGACAGCCUUUGAUUAGGGCAAACUCGUCUCUGUGGCAAAAGAGUGAGAAGAUCUUUAAGUAGAGGUGACAGACCUAUCGAAUCGAGUUAUAGCUGGUUACUCAUGAAAUGAAUAGAAGUUCAGCCUCUAGCCUCCUAAAGACAAACUUAUUGAAAUUUAUACCGUCAAAUAGAGAAGACUAGAGAGUUAGUCAAAGAGGGUACAGCCUAUUUGACCUAGGAUACAACUUUAAUAGAAGGAUAAGGAUCAUAAUUAAUAAGACCCUGUGUUGAGGUGGGCCUAAGAGCAGCCAUCCUUAAUGAUAGCGUUAAAGCUCAAGCACAUUAUAGGUCAAUAAUUUUGGUAACUAAUCUUAAUCCUCUUAAAUUAAUGAGUCAUUACAUACCAUGAAAGAGAUUAUGCUAGUAUGAGUAAUAAGAGGCACAAUUAACCUCUCCAAGCACAAGUGUAAGUCGGAACGAACCAAUCACCGAAUAUUAACGGCCCCAAACAAAGAGAGUAAGUCAAAUUAAUUAGUUAUCAAGAAAACUCUGACAUACUAACCGUUAUCCCUACACAGGAGUGCUGCACGUGGAAAGAUAAAAAGGAGGAAAAGGAACUCGGCAAACAUGCAUAAGCCUCGCCUGUUUACCAAAAACAUCGCCUCUUGUGAACUAAAAAUAAGAGGUACCGCCUGCCCUGUGACAUAAUGUUUAACGGCCGCGGUAUUUUGACCGUGCAAAGGUAGCGCAAUCACUUGCCUUUUAAAUGAAGGCCUGUAUGAAUGGCAAAACGAGGGCUUAACUGUCUCUUUCUCCGUAUCAAUGAAAUUGAUCUCCCCGUGCAGAAGCGGGGAUGUCACCAUAAGACGAGAAGACCCUGUGGAGCUUUAGACUCCCGACAGUCCAUGCAUAGGAGAAAAAAUAAACAACUCAAACUAAUUGAAAACUGUCUUAAUGUCUUUGGUUGGGGCGACCGCGGGGUAACAAACAACCCCCAUGUGGACUAAGAAUAUAUUCUUACAUCUAAGAGCCACCACUCUAAGAACCAGAAUAUCUGACCUUCAGUGAUUCCGGACUUCCGAUCAACGAACCUAGUUACCCCAGGGAUAACAGCGCAAUCCUCUUUUAGAGCCCAUAUCGACAAGAGGGUUUACGACCUCGAUGUUGGAUCAGGACAUCCUAAUGGUGCAGCCGCUAUUAAGGGUUUGUUUGUUCAACAAUUAAAGUCCUACGUGAUCUGAGUUCAGACCGGAGAAAUCCAGGUCAGUUUCUAUCUAUGAUGUUUCUCCUUCUAGUACGAAAGGACCGAAGAAGAAGGGCCAAUGAUUAACCAGCCAUCUAACCUGACCUGAUGAAACAAACUAAAGAAGGUAAAAGGUUGCACCCGGUAAUCAUAGACAAUGAUGU